CACGUAGGGCGCGAGCGUUGUCCGGAAUUAUUGGGCGUAAAGAGCUCGUAGGCGGCCUGUUGCGUCCGCUGUGAAAGCCCGGGGCUUAACCCCGGGUCGGCAGUGGAUACGGGCAGGCUAGAGGUAGGUAGGGGAGAAUGGAAUUCCCAGUGUAGAGGUGAAAUUCGUAGAUAUUGGGAAGAACACCGGUGGCGAAGGCGGCUCACUGGCUCAUUUCUGACGCUCAGGCGCGACAGCGUGGGGAUCAAACAGG
rnacentral:rRNA from 1 species